AGAGUUUGAUCCUGGCUCAGGAUGAACGCUGGCGGCGUGCUUAACACAUGCAAGUCGAACGAAGCACAGAAGCAGAUUUCUUCGGAUUGAAGCAUUUGUGACUGAGUGGCGGACGGGUGAGUAACGCGUGGGUAACCUGCCUUUCACAGGGGGACAACAGCUGGAAACGGCUGCUAAUACCGCAUAACCCGCUAGGGCCGCAUGGCCCGGACGGAAAAGGAGCAAUCCGGUGAAAGAUGGACCCGCGUCUGAUUAGCUAGUUGGUGAGGUAAGGGCCCACCAAGGCGACGAUCAGUAGCCGAACUGAGAGGUUGACCGGCCACAUUGGGACUGAGACACGGCCCAAACUCCUACGGGAGGCAGCAGUGGGGAAUAUUGCACAAUGGGGGAAACCCUGAUGCAGCGACGCCGCGUGAGUGAAGAAGUAUUUCGGUAUGUAAAGCUCUAUCAGCAGGGAAGAUAAUGACGGUACCUGACUAAGAAGCUCCGGCUAAAUACGUGCCAGCAGCCGCGGUAAUACGUAUGGAGCAAGCGUUAUCCGGAUUUACUGGGUGUAAAGGGUGCGUAGGUGGCAGUGCAAGUCAGAUGUGAAAGGCCGGGGCUCAACCCCGGAGCUGCAUUUGAAACUGCUCGGCUAGAGUACAGGAGAGGCAGGCGGAAUUCCUAGUGUAGCGGUGAAAUGCGUAGAUAUUAGGAGGAACACCAGUGGCGAAGGCGGAUUGCUGGACGACAACUGACGGUGAGGCGCGAAAGCGUGGGGAGCAAACAGGAUUAGAUACCCUGGUAGUCCACGCUGUAAACGAUGAAUACUAGGUGUGCGGGGACUGACCCCCUGCGUGCCGCAGUUAACACAAUAAGUAUUCCACCUGGGGAGUACGAUCGCAAGGUUGAAACUCAAAGGAAUUGACGGGGGCCCGCACAAGCGGUGGAUUAUGUGGUUUAAUUCGACGCAACGCGAAGAACCUUACCAGGGCUUGACAUCCUACUAACGAAGUAGAGAUACAUCAGGUGCCCUUCGGGGAAAGUAGAGACAGGUGGUGCAUGGUUGUCGUCAGCUCGUGUCGUGAGAUGUUGGGUUAAGUCCCGCAACGAGCGCAACCCCUAUUGUUAGUUGCUACGCAAGAGCACUCUAGCGAGACUGCCGUCGACAAAACGGAGGAAGGUGGGGACGACGUCAAAUCAUCAUGCCCUUUAUGACUUGGGCUACACACGUACUACAAUGGCGUUAAACAAAGAGAAGCAAGACCGCGAGGUGGAGCAAAACUCAGAAACAACGUCCCAGUUCGGACUGCAGGCUGCAACUCGCCUGCACGAAGUCGGAAUUGCUAGUAAUCGUGGAUCAGCAUGCCACGGUGAAUACGUUCCCGGGCCUUGUACACACCGCCCGUCA
rnacentral:rRNA from 1 species